GUCUACGGCCAUACCGCCCUGAACGCGCCCGAUCUCGUCUGAUCUCGGAAGCUAAGCAGGGUCGGGCCUGGUUAGUACUUGGAUGGGAGAACAAUUAAUAUGAAACAAGGUUUGCGAAGUGC
rfam:Felis catus breed Abyssinian Contig113110.1, whole genome shotgun sequence. [26-MAY-2016]